rnacentral:lncRNA from 1 species
UUACUGCUACUUGGAUCUUUGGGCUAUGGUCUUGUCUACUCAAGACUCUCCUGUUUGGUAAAUAUAUUUGGUUUAAUUAUAGCCUUUCUCACGAUUUUCCCGCCAUUUUUGGGGUACUGCCUCUCCCACGCCUGAAAGUCUCUGCAACACGAAAUACAACCUUUUAGUAUUGUAGUUGUUUGUAUAAUGGUAAAUUUACAGUUACAACUUUUCAAAGUUGCUUUUCACGUUGUUUGAAUUGUCUAGAACUAUCACGAGGGCAGACAGUACCCCAAAAAUGGCGGAUUUUGGCCUUCGUGACAAAGGCUAAUUCGACAUAAUGUCAAAACAUUUUACUUGUGAGUGAGGAUGUCCCGGGAUGAAAUUUUAACCGUUAUUGCAUUCGUGAUAAAAUUUAAAUUUCAAAUACCUUCCAUUCUCCGAUAGGUGUUCGUCUAUUGGUUAUGUUCGCUGUCAUGUGACACGUUGUGUAUUCUCGAUACUAUGAUGGUUAUGCCCUAUACGAGAGAUAAUGGAAAGUUUGCUUGGGAGGAACAAACUCAGAACUGCACUCAACCUCUCGUAAACCCAGAAGGAAACAUAUCACGGUCUUAUACUUAUUUAAGUACAAAUAAUCUCGGUAAAUUACAACAGUUUUGCAUUUUUGGUUUGAAACAGGGGCGCAGCCAGCCCCAAACGAGUGUGUAUGGAGCGGGGGUUCCAAUUGUUCCGAGGCACCGCCCCCGCAAAUUUUGCACUGUAAUAGGUUUGCGAAACGCGGUAU